GACGAACGCUGGCGGCGUGCCUAAUACAUGCAAGUCGAACGCAGUGGGGACGGGUGAGUAACACGUGGGUAACCUCCCAUCAGAGGGGAUAACACUUGGAAACAGGUGCUAAACCGAUACUGAUGGAUGGACCCGCGGUGCAUUAGCUAGGUGGUGAGGUAACGGCUCACCAAGGCCACGAUGCAUAGGCGGCCUGAGAGGUGGGUUGGCCAACCUGGGACUGAGACACGGCCCAGACUCCUACGGGAGGCAGCAGGGGGGAAUAUUGCACAAUGGGCGCAAGCCUGAUGCAGCCAUGCCGCGUGUAUGAAGAAGGCCUUCGGGUUGUAAAGUACUUUCAGCGGGGAGGCGUUACCCGCAGAAGAAGCACCGGCUAACUCCGUGCCAGCAGCCGCGGUAAUAC
rnacentral:rRNA from 1 species